rnacentral:rRNA from 1 species
AGUAGCCGCGGUAAUACGGAGGGUGCAAGCGUUAAUCGGAAUUACUGGGCGUAAAGCGCACGCAGGCGGUUUGUUAAGUCAGAUGUGAAAUCCCCGAGCUUAACUUGGGAACUGCAUUUGAAACUGGCAAGCUAGAGUCUUGUAGAGGGGGGUAGAAUUCCAGGUGUAGCGGUGAAAUGCGUAGAGAUCUGGAGGAAUACCGGUGGCGAAGGCGGCCCCCUGGACAAAGACUGACGCUCAGGUGCGAAAGCGUGGGGAGCAGACAGGAUUAGAUACCCGCGUAGUCCCUGUCUCUUAUACA